UUUCACGAUGAGCUGAUCCAUUGAAUCUUUGUCAAGGUCAGUUGUCAUUAACCAAGUGUUGUGUAGUUUCAACUUUUACUAUUUCCUUUGACGCUCGACACAAUGCCGUUGUACGGAAAAUUAUUUCUUCUAAUAACCAUAGCUGCGUUUGUUGUUUAUGCAAGCGAAGAAGAAGAAGAUUCAUUUUCUUCAUUUUCGAUGACCGACAAUGACGUUGUUGACAGUGACCUUUACCAAGAUGAUGAAGGAGCUGGAAUUCAAAUGGAUGAGAGUGACCUGCUUGUAAGCUCUGAAUUUACCGAUGAAGACUAAUGUGUUAAUGGAGCGUUUCAUUGAUAAAUAUAUAAGAUGAAUGUGAUAAAAAAUAUUUUCUUUCUGUGAUUAUAAAUGGGAAAUUAAUAAACUUAUCUUCAAUGAAGGAAA